UACGGAGGGUGCGAGCGUUGUCCGGAAUCAUUGGGCGUAAAGGGCGCGUAGGCGGCCACCGCAAGUCGACUGUGAAAUCUCCGGGCUUAACCCGGAAAGGUCAGCCGAUACUGCGGGGCUAGAGUGCAGAAGGGGCAACUGGAAUUCUCGGUGUAGCGGUGAAAUGCGUAGAUAUCGAGAGGAACACCUGCGGCGAAGGCGGGUUGCUGGGCUGACACUGACGCUGAGGCGCGAAAGCUAGGGGAGCGAACGGG
rnacentral:rRNA from 1 species